ensembl:piRNA 21ur-4338 ncRNA
UUAAUGUCGUUGUUUUUGAGC